GAUGAACGCUGGCAGAAUGCUUAACACAUCAGCAAUUGAUUGGUGGCGGAGGGGUGAGUAACGCGUAAAGAAAUUACCUCGCAGUUAGGGACAACAUUUGGAAACGAAUGCUAAUACCUAAUACUGUGAGAGAGCUUUGCGUCCCAUUAGCUAGUUGGGGAGGUAACGGCUCACCAAGGCGAGGAUGGGUAGCCGGCCUGGGAGGGUGAUCGGCAAGAAGGGAACUGGGAUGCGGCCCUUACCACUCCGGGAGGCAGGGGUGCGGAGGAGAGGACAAUGCACUGAAGUAUGAUCCAGGAAUUCAGGGUGCACGAUGAAGUUUCCGGAAGGUAAAGAGAUUUCAGUUGGGGAGCGGUACCAACAGAAGAAGUGACGGCUAAAUACGUGCCAGCAGCCGCGGUAAUAC
rnacentral:rRNA from 1 species